rnacentral:rRNA from 1 species
GAUGAACGCUGGCGGCGUGCCUAAUACAUGCAAGUCGAGCAAACAGAUAAGGAGCUUGCUCCUUUGACGUUAGCGGCGGACGGGUGAGUAACACGUGGAUAACCUACCUAUAAGACUGGGAUAACUUCGGGAAACCGGAGCUAAUACCGGAUAACAUAUUGAACCGCAUGGUUCAAUAGUGAAAGGCGGCUUUGCUGUCACUUAUAGAUGGAUCCGCGCCGUAUUAGCUAGUUGGUAAGGUAACGGCUUACCAAGGCAACGAUACGUAGCCGACCUGAGAGGGUGAUCGGCCACACUGGAACUGAGACACGGUCCAGACUCCUACGGGAGGCAGCAGUAGGGAAUCUUCCGCAAUGGGCGAAAGCCUGACGGAGCAACGCCGCGUGAGUGAUGAAGGUCUUCGGAUCGUAAAACUCUGUUAUCAGGGAAGAACAAAUGUGUAAGUAACUGUGCACAUCUUGACGGUACCUGAUCAGAAAGCCACGGCUAACUACGU